GAUGAACGCUGGCGGCGUGCCUAAUACAUGCAAGUCGAGCGAACAGAUGAGGAGCUUGCUCCUCUGACGUUAGCGGCGGACGGGUGAGUAACACGUGGAUAACCUACCUAUAAGACUGGGAUAACUUCGGGAAACCGGAGCUAAUACCGGAUAAUAUAUUGAACCGCAUGGUUCAAUAGUGAAAGACGGUUUUGCUGUCACUUAUAGAUGGAUCCGCGCCGCAUUAGCUAGUUGGUAAGGUAACGGCUUACCAAGGCAACGAUGCGUAGCCGACCUGAGAGGUGGUUCGGCCCCCUAGGACCUGAGCACGGGCCCAGCUCCCACCGGGAGGCAGCAUGAGGGAAUCUUCCGAAAGGGGGGAAAGCCUGACGGAGCAACGCCGGGGGGGUGAUGAAGGUUUUGGGAUCGUAAAACCUUUUUAUUAGGGAAAAAAAAAUUGGAAAGUAACUAUGCCCGUUUGAACGGUACCAAACAAGAAAACCCCGGCUAACUCCUU
rnacentral:rRNA from 1 species